CACCCCACCCCAGCCGCUGCCCCGCCCCCCAGCUCGGCCCGGGAGGACCAGCCAGAGGCCGCUCGCAGUCGGGCCGGGCUGGUCCACUCCGGGGACAAACAAGCCAAGCCCCCUGUUCAUCGUGAGAGAUGCCACACGAGGCCUCGCGUCUGGUCGCCUGCCCCGCGCCGCCCAGAGUGUCCCCGCGAGACCCAGUUCCGGGGCGUCUUCGCAGCGAGCUGCCACGAGGGCCCUGAGGGGAAUGACUGUCGCUGGACAGACAGACGUCCUCUGGCACGACGUGAAGCCCCGCCGUGGACGGGGAAGCACAGGGCUGGUGGCAAGGGCGCAGUGUGCGGCGCAGGUAGCUCAGGCGGUGAGAGGCUGCAGCGCUGGAUCCCGAGGCUCAAGCUGCUGCCCCGUCACACACCAACCUUAAAGCACAGUCAGGAUGCAUCUGUCUUCCCCCAGGUCCAAGGCAAGCAGCUGCAAAUUGCAGUGUUGGGCUUGCGAAGAACCAUCCUCGGAGGCCUGGAGGCCUGUCUCUCGUGGAGGGAAUCCGUCCCCAAACAAGCUGCGGAUGCCCGGCACACAUUCGGAUCACAAACAUAGACAGCGACUGAUCAGACCGCAGCAUUUCGCUUCACUUCCAAUUAAAUAGUUUAAGUGAAAAAAAUCAGGUCUAAUUUUUAUCUCCAAGGAGGACUGGCCUCGACAAUUUCCAUUUCUGAAGGCCAGUUCCUGCUGUGCUUUCAUUAGCAUUUGGGGCUCGCGCCCUCCCCCCACCCCUCCUUCUUCCCCCAUCCCCUGCCUGAUCUCUGCCAGGGGCAGAAAAGAAAACAGCGAAUUAUUACUAAAACAUCCCCAGUUUGGAGCAGGAGCGUAUGCUCUGAAUACACUCGAUUUUGACAUCAAUUAAGUACCUAACCAGACAGGUGCACGUGACUUUGGAGGGUCUCCCAGUGCCCAGGGUGCAUCUCCAGAACGUGGCCUGCUCUCCCUCCCUCUUUUCUCAGCGUUGCUGAUUCCAAAGACUGCCUCUUCCUGAGUGUAUUUUCCCCCCAGCAAUUACACUCCUCCACUGAAAUCUAAAUUUUCCAUACCGCUGCCUGCUACUAAUAAAAACCGUCUACCUUGCACUAUUAAACAGUCGAAUCGCA